AUGGCUUCCCGCAGCUGCUUCUCUGUGGCGUGUGCUGUCGCAGUGAUGGCGUUUGCCAUCUUAGCCACGGCGAGCAAUGCGCAGCCGCUGGACCCUCAUUUCUACGACAAGUUGUGCCCGGCGGCGCUCCCCGCCAUCAGGAAGGCCGUCGCGGUGGAGCCGUGCAUGGGUGCCUCGCUCCUGCGCCUGCACUUCCACGACUGCUUCGUCAACGGGUGUGAUGGGUCCAUCCUGCUCGACGACACGCCCUUCUUCACCGGCGAGAAGAACGCCGCGCCCAACCUGAACUCCAUUCGCGGCUUCGACGUCAUCGAUCGCAUCAAGGACGCCGUCAACGCCGGGUGCAGGGGAAACGUGGUGUCCUGCGCUGAUGUUGUGGCCGUCGCAGCACGUGACUCCGUCAUCACGCUGGGAGGGCCGUCGUACGACGUGCUUCUGGGUCGGAGGGACGCGCGGGGGGUGAGCCAGGGGGCGGCGAACAACAUCAUCCCGGCGCCGACCUUCGACCUCGAUCGCCUCAUCUCCAACUUCGCCUCGCACGGCCUCACUGUGCAGGACCUGGUCGUGCUCUCCGGCGGCCACACUCUGGGCUUCUCCCGCUGCACCAACUUCCGUGACCGCCUAUACAACGAGACAGCCACAUUGGACGGCUCCCUCGCCGCGCAGCUCAGGGGCCCCUGCCCGCUCGCCGGCGGCGAUGACAACCUCGCGCCGCUUGACCCGACGCCAGCGCGGUUGGACGGCGGGUACUACGGCUCGUUGCUGCGCAGCAGGGGGCUGCUGCACUCGGACCAGCAGCUGUUCGCUGGCGGCCUCGGCCCCACGGACGCGCUCGUUAGGUUCUAUGGCGCCAACCCGGAGGCGUUCAGGAGGGACUUCGCGGAGGCCAUGGUGAGGAUGGGCGGCCUCAGCCCGCUCACCGGGAGCAACGGCGAGAUCCGCGCCAACUGCAGGAAGGUGAACUACUAG
rnacentral:rRNA from 1 species